UUUCGCAUAAGCAGUACCACUAGCCACACAAUACUCCAUGCCCGACGGAGCCCUGAGGAGGUUGCCAGGGCCAUCCUGAACUCAAGGCCAUUUUCUACAGAGGCCACGGCCUAUGGACUCCGUACAGAACCCCUGGCUCGAAUGGAGUUUGAGCGUCAACUAGGUGUUGAAGUUGUGGAGAUGGGUUUGCUCAUACACCCGGAUCAGCCUUGGCUGUGUGGCAGCCCUGAUGGCAUGUUCUGCCUGUCUGGGGAAACAUGCCUUUUGGAAAUCAAGUGUCCCCACAAGUGUAAAGAAGCAGACAUGUUCGACAGCUCGGGAGAGAGCAUCCUAGACUACAUCCAGGGAACAGGCAGCAACCGAAGACUGAAGACAACGCACAGAUAUUUCACUCAAGUACAGAUAUUACUGUACUUGUUGAAUGUACAAAAGUGCUACUUUUUUGUAUAUUCCAGCAGGCAAAAUGUCAUUAUUGA